rnacentral:lncRNA from 1 species
ACACCAACUUUCCACACCUAAGUAACAAAAGGAUGGGAGGCUAGUCCCUUUGCAAACCCCGUCCCUCUUUCCAUCUGUGUAGCAGAUGGAAAAUUGAAAGUAUAUCUGAUUGGUUGCUUUAUGCGUGGAAGCUUCUUCAAACUGGCUCCUGUGUUCUUUUGACAUACUCCCAUCAUUCUGUGAGAACAUCCGUAUUUCUUGGCACAAUAAAAUAUUUGUUCUCACUGUGUUACCCAGGCUGGUCUUGAACUCCUGGCCUGAAGCCAUUCUCCUGCUUCAGCCCCAAAAGUGCAGGGAUUACAGGCUAUUUUUGUUUCUAUUUGUAGUUCUGUCAAAUUUUUGUUGUCUAUAUUUUUAAGCUUUGUUAAUGGGUACAUCUACUGGAUGAACUGUACUUUUAGCAUUAUAUGGCACACCUCUGCCAAAUUCAUGUGCUGAAACUUAAUCAGCAAUGUGAUGGUAAUAGGUGGGGCCUUUAAAGGUGAUUAAGUCAUGUGAGUGACCUUUAUAAAAAAGGCUUCAUGCGUUGUUCAGCUCUCUUUCCCCUUCUAUCUCUUUUGUCAUGCAAAGAGAGGAUGUGGUGUUUGUCCACAUUGGAGGAUGCAGCGACAGGGCGUCACCUUGGAAGUAGAGAGCAGCCCUCAGGGGAUGCUGAGCCUGUGGAAGUAUGGAUUUUUUUUUUUUUUUUUUU